UGCCGACUCCUCCUUCCUCUCCUCUCUCCUCCUCUCAGUUGGCUCUGUGACUCCUUGCCGGGACGGUAUAUACAGAGCAGGGACCGGUGGUGAAUGGGGAAGGGCAGUAGCCACAUCAGCAGCAGCAGCAGUCGGGCGCACCGACCGAAGCAUGCUCCAGCGCAGCCAUGACUUGCUCGGCGUCAGAUAGCGAGAAGAUCGUGAUCAACUGCGGCGGGAUCCGACACGAGACCUACCGGAGCACCCUGAAGACGCUGCCGGGGACGCGCUUGUCUUGGCUGACCGAACCCGACGCCUACAGCAACUUCGACUACGACCCCAAGUCCGACGAGUUCUUCUUCGAUCGCCACCCGGCCACCUUCGCCUUUAUCCUUAACUACUACCGCACCGGCAAGCUCCACUGCCCCAAUGAUGUGUGUGGGCCGCUCUUCGAAGAGGAGCUUGCCUUCUGGGGCAUCGAUGAGACGGACGUGGAGGCGUGCUGCUGGAUGAACUACCGACAGCAUCGCGACGCCGAGGAAGCCCUGGACAGCUUCGAGCAACCCGAGCCGGACGCUCCCGAGGAUGAUCCGGCGCUCACCGGCGGGGCGGAUGGCGACCUGAAGCGGCUGUGCAUGCAGGAGGACGGCCGUAGGGCGACGUGGUGGGACGCGUGGCGACCGUUUAUGUGGGCGCUGUUCGAGGACCCCUACUCCUCCAAAUACGCCCGGUAUGUGGCGUUUGGCUCGCUCUUCUUCAUCCUCCUCUCCAUCUCCACCUUCUGCCUGGAGACCCAUGAAGCCUUCAAUACCAUCUACAACAAAACAGAGAACGUCACAUUUGGAAAUGUGACGCAUGAGGAGAUCGUUUAUGAGGUAGUCACAGAUGGCUGGCUGACAUAUGUGGAGGGUGUCUGCGUCAUAUGGUUCACCAUUGAAGUGAUGGCGCGUGUCGUCUUCUGCCCUGACAAGGCAGAGUUCUUCCGCAGCGCCCUUAACAUCAUAGACUUUGUGGCCAUCGUGCCCUUUUACCUAGAGGUGGCGCUAAGUGGCCUCUCCUCCAAAACAGCCAAAGACGUGCUGAGCUUCCUGCGUGUGGUGCGCUUUGUCCGUAUCCUGCGUAUAUUCAAGCUGACUCGCCACUUUGUUGGUUUAAGGGUCCUGGGGCACACUCUGCGGGCGAGCACUAAUGAGUUCCUACUGCUCAUCAUCUUCCUGGCGCUGGGCGUCCUCAUCUUUGCUACCAUGAUCUACUAUGCCGAACGUAUCGGUGCCGACCCAGAUGAUCCAACAGCUGCGGCCCACACCAACUUUAAGAAUAUCCCCAUCGGGUUCUGGUGGGCUGUUGUCACCAUGACCACGCUGGGCUACGGGGAUAUGUACCCCGAGACAUGGUCAGGAAUGCUUGUGGGUGCCCUCUGCGCCUUGGCUGGUGUGCUGACCAUCGCCAUGCCUGUGCCCGUCAUCGUCAACAACUUCGGCAUGUACUACUCCCUGGCCAUGGCAAAGCAGAAGCUCCCCAAGAAAAGGAACAAGCACAUCCCCCGAGCGCCACAGCCCGGCAGCCCCAACUACUGCAAGCCAGAUGCCCUGGCCAUGGCAACCGCCUCGCCACACAGGCUGAUGGGCAAUGUGCUUGGGCCAGGCAUGGUGGGAUCAGGCAGCAUGAUGGGUACUGGAGACUGCCCACUGGCACAGGAGGAGAUCAUCGAGAUCAACAGGGCAGAUUCCAAGCAGAAUGGCGAUGCAGCAGCUAAUGCGGCCCUGGCCAAUGAGGACUGCCCCACCAUUGACCAGGUCCUUGGAGACGAGCGUAGUCCGGCCACCGGGGGCCUUGGCUCCACCACCAGCCGCGAGCGCUACCCGCAUGACCGGGCCUGCUUCCUGCUGAGCGCCGGGGAGUUUCAGCGCACGACAGACGGGAACGUUCGGAAAGUAGGUGGUACUGUGAACGGCUACUGGAGCGACAGCCCGUGGUAGAAGAAGAGCGGAUGACAAACUCCACAAGCGAAGAAGAGAGAGAACAUGACAACAGAGACAGCAUACUAACAUAGAAAUAUGCAAUGUAGAUACAUGAAACAGCGGUGGAUUGAUCUGUGUGUUUCUGUUUAGUUAUGUUUUAACUGCGGCACACAUGAGUGUGAACGUGGAUGUUUGUGUGUGCAUGUGUGUUUUUGCAUCUACCUCUGAACUAAGAUGCACAAAUGUCAACUUGAAAAAUACAUUUUUUUUCUUCUUUUUGCUUCUGCAAGAUUGAAAGUAAGACAUAAGUCUUUCACUUUAGUACUGUUAUUUAAUAUUAGCAAUCUGUGUGGGAUUACUAUCAAUGAGUGGACUUUUGUUUUUUUAUUAAUUUAAGUUUUUUUUUUUCUUCCAAAAUAUAAAAGUUUUCCUUUUUUUUCAACUGGAAUUUUCUGUUGUUGGGGACAGUUCAUGGCAACAUUGUCAGACUUAUUAAUUGUUUUAGACAGUAAUUAUGUGUCUGUUGGCUAAGUUUUAUACAGUAUUUGUACAGUAUCUCUAGUCCUCCUCUCUCGCUUUCACCUUCCUUCUCCCCCACCUAAAAGUAAAUCAUUCCUUUUGAUUUGCAUUAGAUUCCCAAGAUCACUUACCACACACAUGAACGUAGUUUAACAACUGUUUAGGCAAGAUUAUCCUUAAAAAAGAACCACUUAAAGUUGCAGAGGAAGUUCAUAAAGUACUGUUUGUCUCUUAAGGAUACCUAAGAAAUGUUUCUGUGCUCUGAGGUAUCUCCUUCCUGUUACUGGUUUACAUUCAAGCUAGGAGUGUUUAGAAGGUGAGAGCACCAAAUGAGGAGACUUUGUCUAAGGAGCACAUCAUUGUUUAUUUAAAAAAUGAGCUUGACAUUGUGGGAAAAAUACUUUUUUGAGCUACAUUUGGAGCUAUAGUAGGAAAGCAUUUAACCUAACUUAGAUUUAAGACUGGGUGCAGGGGGAAACAGCUAUGUCCAUUGCAAAGAAAUACACGCUAUAUCUCAUUUGUUAAACAUGGUAAGAACAAAAAUGAAAAUAAGCAAGCUCACAGUGAAUACAAGGAAGCUAGGACCACUGAUCUCAAUUCCUGGAAAAACCCACAUUUUUUAAUUAGUUGGCUUUACAGGUGUUCAUUUUUAAUUUUUUGGACAUUUUAGAUCCAGGCUAGCUGUUCCCUCUGUCUCCAGUCUUUACACCGAGCAACGCAAUUGCCUUCUGGCUCUAGCUCUAUACUGCACAGGCAUGAGAUUUAUAUUGAUUCCUCAUCAUACUUUUGAUAAAAAAGUGAAUAGAAUUUCCGUGAAAUGUCAAGCGACUUUUUUAGCCUUACGUGACCCUGAUUCUGGAUCUUGCAGGGUUCUUGUUGUCUGUUUAGCCGAAUCCACCGGAGGUUCAGGAUUCAAUUCCCAGUUGGCAAUUAAUUUUAACCCCCAAUCCUAUGAGACAUGCAGACCAGGCAUACACACACACACACACACACACACACACACACAUACGCGCGCACGCACACGCACUCCAAUUUCUCUACUGAACCUGUCUAUAGUUCUCAACAUGUCAUCCUCUCUUCAUCUUCCUCUCCCUUCCUAACGUAAACUUGUUGUGAGUGCUUCUGUCACUUUUACUAAGGCCACUGCUGAUUGGUCGCUUUUGUCAUGAUAAUGUACAUAUGUAAAGUUUGCGUUGUAUUUGAAUCUGCAUGGGUUUCCAUUGCAAGCAAUAAGGAUACUGAUAUCACUAAUGUGAGGAGGUUUGAUAAGAUUUUAGUCUCAAGCUUAAUGAAUGUGUAUAUACUAUUUAGACAUGUAAGAGUGUGUACGGAUGUGUGUGUUAAGAUGCAUACAUAUGCACUAACAAAGCAUGCUGGACAAAAAAAUGUUCACCUCUUUGAAUGCAAAAGAGGUUGGAUGGGCUGACAUUAUGCAUGCCAAAAUGCUAUAAUGCUAUUGGUCAGAAGAGACCAAGUUAGGUACUGUAAUGGGGAUAUGUGGGUGUGGGAAAGUUUAUUUUUGCAGGUUAGGGAAGGGUUACAUUUCUAGUAGGUGUAUAGCUGCUUUCUUAUCGAACUUGAAAGACUUAUGAUAAGAGAAACUUAUUAACAAUCGUAGCUUAUGAUUUCUUCUUUUUUUGCUUCUCUUUUCACAGAGAACUGUUCUGAAAGCCCUGCGCUUAUCAGAUAUAUGCAAAAAGAAGCAGUAACUGUGAACUAAUGCUAAGUCAUGAAAAAAAACAAAUCCAGCUUCUUCCAUCAUUGUCUCAACUCCUCUUCUACAAGAGAGAGGAGAGACCAUUCUCCUCUCAAGAUACCUCCUCACCAAAAUUCCCCUAUCCAUCUUCUCAUUCAUCUGCUUCUUCAUUAUCUGUCUGGGAUUCAUCCUGCCCAUGUCAUGUUUCAUUUCCUUCUGUCCGCUUCUAUUCUCUACACUUGCAUUUUAACUGCAGUGAGUUCAAAAGGAUACCUCUGCAAUGUGAGAAUGCAGUGAUUCAAUACAAGCUCCCACAAAGGAUGAUCAGGGCCAAAUUAGCCUGCCAGGGGGUGGGGGGGGGGGCUCAGGUAAAACUGAGCUGCCAGCCCCUUUUGAGAAUAGUCUGUUUCUCUGUGUUAGCUUGAUUAAAUUCAAGAAUCCUCAUCCUUUUCCAUUGUGAACCGGAAAUAUUUCCAUCAAAGCAUAAUAUAAAUAUUGUGUGGCUUUUCUAUCAGUCGCAUCAUCAUGACAACCAGUGACAGCGGAAAGUCUUAGCUGCUUGACAGAUGAUCAGUCCGUUUUUUUUUUCUCUAACUCUAAAAACCAUACUAUAAAUGGACUUGAAAAACCUUGCUAGCCUAGCAACAUUAAUGCUACAAACAACCCAUUAUGCAACACUCUCUGUAGGAACCUACAAUACUCUCUCAAUUCAAAAAAUAAAUCUGAUCUUACGUGUAUGAAAGUCUAGUCCUCGAAUAUAAUGUGACCCCCACUUUUUCAAACGUAAUAUCUUAUGUUAUAUUUUGUCCAAUCCUGUUUCAGCUAAAAAGGCCCCAGGGAAUGGUAUCAUUACUUCAUUUGUAUAAUGUACACUGUUGAAACAAGUCAGUAAGUGUGAACCAUUGUUAGUUAGUUAUGCAAUCAAAGGCAGAUUGAUUGGACAGGACGGUCAAAAAGGCGGGAUUAUUAAAAAACAUUUUAACGACUUUAUUGUUGUGGACAUUGCACACACCCGCCAGAGAAAUGGCAGACAGUAUUCUGCAGGGAACACGCUGAGAGACAGAUUGGGUUUUUCUAAUGAUUUAUCACUAUUUAGCGGUGCAUGUGACAUAUUGGUAUUUUAUUCUUUUAUUUUUUUUUACCACAAAAGAUCUUUGAAGAAGUUGCAUUGAAUACCCAGUUGGAAACCACACUGCAGAGGCACCCUUCAAAAUUCAAACGAUUUUUUUUUAAUUUAAAUUUCUUUAGCUUCAGCCCCUUGUUGCCAACGUUUCUCUUCUUCCUAUCCAUUCACAACUCAGGUAUCUCUUCUCAAUCUGUGCCCCCCGUGUUUCUGUUUGUCCAUGUUUCCUCAAAGAUGUACUGUAUGUAUGAAAAAGGGAGAUAUAAGAAAAAAGUAGAGUGCUCCUAUCAUUUCUGUCCCUGUGAAUGCCAUGUGCUUGGUUUUGUGGCUCUUGCCCCACUCCUUCAAAAUGCUAUUUUUUUUGUUGCUUUCCUUGUCCAACUGUGCUUCCUGUCUUCUCCUUGUGUUAUUUCCUUGUCUUUCCACCCUCUCUCAAUAACUGUGUCCCUCUUUCUGUGAGACUUUAUCCCCCCCCCCCAAUGCACCAUCCAUCCCCCCACCGUGAAGUCUCUCACAGCAAAAACCAAAAAGGAAUUAAGUAAAAUUGGAGCACAUUUGCACCUACAAAAAAAAGGCCAAACAAUGGAUUUCACCAAGGAGGAAGACAGGAACGGACAUUUAAAUGAAUGACAAAGGCUGCAGUGAUAUAUUGUAUAUGGGGAGGAGGGGAAAUGUGCAAUGAAAUGAUUUGUUGUGAGUGGAUUGUCAGCCAAGCAGCAUCAGAGGGAGGAGAUGGAGGAGGAAAAGUUUGGGGAAGACAAAAGUGUGGUGAUGAGGAGGAUGAAAGAAGCAAAAUCGCUUCUCCAUUGCUGAGUUUCUAAACCCACUCUGUCUACAAGAAGAGGAAAACAAUAAACUUUGAAACCGCUGCUCCUCCAUCUCCCCCAACGGGAUUUACUGUAGAAAAGGGAAGGAGAUAGAGAGAAAGAAAAAAAAAGAAGAUCAGUGGUAGACAUCAUCACCGUUUCUGACACUCUGACCUGAAAUAUCAUCCGUGUGACACAUUCAUAUGCAAACUCACUGAUGAUCCCAAUAAGGAAAAAUGGUUGAGAUCCCCUAUAAGCUAUUUUAAGAUGGGAGAGAAAACAUUUUCACCUAUUUUGAACUGAUUUUCAGAGCAAACCACAGCAUGGAUGCUCCCAGCGUAGCGGCCAAAAGGCCUACUGUCAGACUUGGAUUAGUAACCAUGUAACAAAGAUGCCCUCUGUUUUAGUUGUGUUGUUGCAUAACUCUUUUUCUUUCAAGAAGCUACAUUCACAACUGUUGAUUUCCAGUGGAUGUACCAUUAUUUUGGCACUCAAAGCACUAUGCAAGGUGAGGGGUUGUCCAUUGCGAUGUCUAACGGCUCUGGCAGAUCCAGCGUUGGCGCUGGACUGCCCAAGCUGGGCUGCCCUGCUGAUCUCUGCUGAGCUACAGGACCUCUAACGGCAGCCUGAAAUCUACUCAUACAUAUCAGAAAACAUCAGCCAUAUCACAUGUAUAUUGACAUGAUCCUGAUCAAUCUUCCAGGAGCCAGUUGACAUCUUGGGACUGAGAACUCAGCAAAUGUCUAAGAGACAGUUUUCAUCCACCUUGGGAUGGAAUUAACCCAAAGACAGACACAUGGAUGUGCCAGUUGGGCUGAACAGAAGCCCUCAAAGACAAGAAACUAGCUGUAACAUCUUCAAAAGAAAAGGAUAUGUCACUGAAAAGGAAGAUUUGAUUGACCAGCUUUCUCUCUUUCUUACUGUCUCUUUCCCUCUCGAGUGUUUACGGUAUCUCGACCGCCCCCCUCCCUGCAUCUCAGCAUCGCCGCUGCUCCAUCUUUUUAACAAAACUGCAUGGCAUGAAUGAAACCAAUUAACACCCGAUGAAAGACAGUCAAAGACACAAUGGAUGGAUUAAAAAAAGGGGGGAGAGAGAACGGAAAGAGUCUAUGAGAGAGACUAAAGAUUUUCUUUUUUCCGCGCAGCAAUGUCAAUGCAAAGUCAUCAUCAUCCAAGCUACUUUUAACCCCCCAAACUGGCUGCAGAACAGCAUCUCCUGCAGCGAACUGCUCUCUCAGAAGGCAAAAUUGAGAAGGAGGAGCUCCCUCCCCCUCUGAGGUAAAGAGGGAGGGUGACUGGAGAUUCUGCAGACCAUACACUCUAUUUUUCUGGAGCUGUGGGGCGAGAAGAUAGUGGCAUUUUAAAGAAAGCAGGUAUUUAGCAGGAGCGGGAGAAGAUCUUUGAGAAACUAUUUUAGGGACACAAAAAAUGGCAACGAUUGCAAAUACAAAAUGCAUUUUUAUGACAUUGUUUACCAGCAUGAAUAUUCUGCAUGACUUCUGCAAGCCAUUCUGAUCUCCCCCAUGAAUAACAGGGCUAGAAAUUUAAAAAAAAAUUAACAAAGAUUAUGUUAUAUGCAACCAAUUAAAAAAAUGCAGGAUUGUGUUUCAAACAAGAUUUCCUCAAUUUGAUUACACAAAUAAUUAAGAAAAAAAAGGGUUGCUACAGCUACCCUGUUUGGUUUUCUCUAAGAAAUCUUAGGAGACCCCCAAACCCCCCCAACCCACUGAAAUCCAAGAAGACUUCUCCCAACUUCUGCAACUAUUUAUUACUACAAGUUUGUCUACUACUACUUCAACUUCAACUCACCUGGCUGCUACUCUGCUUCUUCUCCCUCCUCCGCUUCUUCUUCUCUUUCCUCUAGCCUUUUACCAGAACCCUUAUAUGUAACUCUCUCCAACGGCAGCUGUGUGUGUCUGUGUCACAAUGUGGACCCAGGAUAAUGAACUGAUGUUCAACUGAACUGUGCUGUCCACUCAGAGAUGUCAUUGAUUUAGUGCAUUUGAAUUGAAACUGUCUGUUGUCCCAUUCUUUGGAACUUUUUCUUGGCCUUGAUCUCCAAGGCAACGCUACACUUUGCAGUCUGAACAUAAGAAUAAGUCAGGAAAGAUACAGGUGAAGUUACCCACACAGUGAUCCAGUCAGCGUGGAAAGGAUACAGUACAAGGUGACUGCCUCAUCAUCCAGGCAAGCUAUUCCAUUCUCUUUGAUUUAUUUCUGAGCAGAAUGUAAGGUUUUGUUUCCCCAAAGAGCAAUUUCUUUUUUAUAAUGUGCUUUUAAAGUCCCUUGCGUGUUAUCAGUUAGGGUUAGGAGUUAGAAUUAAUUUUAAUUUAAUUAAUUUAGUUUAAUGGGGUUAGGGUUGAAAUUAUGAAUUUAUACAGUAUCUACCACUGAAGUAUCAACAAACACAAGGCGGUAGCCAGGAUUUCAGAAAUACCAAAGUCUAAUUCCCCUAAGCUCAACCAUAUCCACCUAAACCAUUUGUAGGCCACCAACAUUCUGUGAGAUUUUUCAACCAUUCUAAAAAAGAGACAAAUCCCACAUUUUAUGUAGCCUACCAUUUAACUUUUUGUAAUAAAAAUAAAAAUACAUGUCACGGCAAACCUCUUUUUUGUCUGAAAACAAUCGAAAAGAAAAACAAAUAACCUCACUCAAUAUAUAGACAAACUGUUCAUCUGCAUGUAUUUUGCCUGAUGAAGGUCUGAAGAUGAUGCGUUGUGUUCAUAAAGUGAGUUGGAAAGUGUACAGGAUUUUCUUUGGUUUUGAAGGAAGUGUUUGAUCCUGCACACUUUCCACUAAGACUUUAUGGUCAAAUUCAGACUAAAAAAAUAUCAAAAUCAGCCGCAUAAAAACACGUGUAAUUGUAGACUGUAAACUAAUUUCAUAAUUUUAUGUCAAAUACAAAAAACAUGACAUCUGUGGUUUCAAUGGUAGCCGUGGACCUGACCAAACACAAGGAAAGACAAUAUGUGGUUAAAGGGCUUCAUGGAAACAUCCUACUUCAAAACACAACAAAAAAAGAGAAAGUGUAGCUUCUUCAUGGUGCUUUACGAAAUCUGCCCUUUCACUCUGUCAGAGAAUCACACAAUUCCAUAAGCAAUUAACUUGUGUAUUGAUGGGAACUGGUGAUUUAUAAACCCUACUUUAGUAAGCUAGAAUGUAGCCACAAUAUUCCUCAGUUAAAGCUCCCAUAUUGUUCAAGUUGUCAUGCUUUCAAAAAUUGUUUUCAAAAUAGCAUAGGUUCUCUGGUGUUGCAUGAAAGUGUAGCUAAAUUUGAAGUGUAUUCAUUUACAGACAUCAAUACAAUAUUCAGAUCUUUAUGGCGGAUAAUACCAACUUUACUGAUGAGCUAAAUUGGCACAAUGUGCUUAGAAACUCACAACAUAUCAUAUUAUGGCCAAAACUCAGUUAAAUUGCACCCUUAAAAGAAACGAUUCUUAUAAACAUAAAUUAAAUUCUAAUAAAUAAUAGGUCUGGUCAUCAAAGUCAAAUCUCCUCCAAUUUAGUAAAACUUUCUUUUUUCAUAUACCAAACUGUCCCAGAACAUGUGACAUGGUUUAGUAGCCUAACUUAUUUUAAAAACAAUAUAUGGUAUGCCCAGCUAAAACAUGUAGAAACUCUUCCAUAAGUAAAUGAGGGAGUGAAAACUGAACGAAGACAGCCUAAGGUCUGACCUGUAGAGUGGGGGCUUUCCAGUUUAUUAUCCCUGAAAGUGACCUGAGGUAUUACGCAAUAACAAAGUUGCAUUUAAACACUGUGGUCCUACAUAGGGUGCUCUAACACUAAAAUAGGUUGGGUCUGUCACCUGCUAACCUGGUGGGACAAUAUAAGAGCAGAAGAGGCACAUAUGCACCGUGUACAGCUCCUUUCUCAGACCACCAUUAAUGGAUUAUUAGCAGCUCCUGGUGGCGGUGGUUCCCCUAUGGUGAGAGGCAGCCAUCUUGGCUUUGUGUGUUCAAACAGGGUUGGUCAAGUACCCCUAUCACCAGAAACAGUAGAAGUAAGAGGUUCUGCUGGGUUGUGGGAAAAACUAUUUUCUCACAGUCUCUAGUCAGAUUUAGAUAACUAGAUCAACAGGGGAAUAUGCAGAAAGAUGGAAAUAAAGAAGCACUUUGGAUAGACUGAAAGCUAGCAGGUAGCCUUCUCAACAGAUGUGUUAAAAAAAGCUGUGUUCUGGUACUUUUCAUUUGUCUUGUCAUGUCUUUAUUAUGCAUCUCAUGUGAGCAGAAUUGUUAAUUUUGUUUGCUGUUUAAUUUAUUUUGAUUGCUCUGUAUUAAUAAGUAUUUGUGUUAUGAGACCAUGUGGGCCCACCACUUGGGCAAAAUUGUUUGAAACAUUGUAGGCAUGGAUGGAUUACUGAAUGGGCCUAUCAGGCACAGGCCUUGUGGCUGAAGGGAUAGGGGCCGGAUGCCCUGGGUGAGAUCCUGUUUAAGGUGACUGAUAUAAUUUCUUCAUGGAAAGUUAAUCAAAUCAAAACAACCUCAACGACACUCAAGGUGACUUCAAAGAGAAGCAAAAUGCCUACAAAGUGACUGAAAACUACUACAAGGAGACUGAAAACUACUACAAAGACACACAAAAUGACUACAAAGAGACUCAAAAUGACUACAAAGAGAAGCGAUGCAAUUCAAAAAAAUACACAAAAUUGGGCCCAUUGUUUCAUAAUCCAUCUAUGUGUGUGGGUUUUUCAUUUUGUGGCUGACAUACAGUAGGGCUAUGACAAACAUCCACCAUCAAACCCAUUAUUGGCUUGUUCCCUAUUUAUUUAUAUUUAUAAUUUCUUAAUUAACAGAAAACUACGAUUUGACGAUUUGCAGACAAAUCUGCACACUCCUCUUGUCACUGCUUCUGCCAAACUCACCAGCCAGAGAAGUGCAUCCGAUUUUCAAUAAGGGCUAUCAAGAUAAACGAGUCUACCCUUGGAAUUUGUGGAUUGGACGCUCUCAAAAUGUGGUCAUACGUACCAUGGUUUUUUAAAUCGUUGUCACAUUGCUAAGAGAGAAUAUUUUCUAUAACAAAGAACUUCAGACCUACAUUCUUUGUAUAGAUUUGAAUUCUUGACCCCUAAAUCCCAUCUGAAGAGGCCAUGUAUGCAAUACGUCCCUGGUCUGCUACUCUAUUUAGUUCAACUAAGAUAGAUUUUUGUUCAUAUGGGCAGUAAAACCUUUUUUUUUUUUUAGCUUCACAUUAAUAUUGUGCACAGCAGAAAAAGUCCUUUGCGCAGGGGAUACAAUGCUCAUUUGAACAGUACUAGGUAGACAGUCAAGCUGCAGUCACUAUAGUAUUUGUUUGUAUUUUGGAUUGUAGCUUUUACAGCGUAUGCAGCCACGCUAACUGAACCCGAUAACUUGAACGGCCAUGACUGAAAUGAUGUAUAUUAAAUCCCCUGGCUGGUGAAAUAUGAGGUUUGGUUUGCACCACGUUGUGCUUUGUGUGGACCAAAAAGGUUUGGUAUCCAUACUCUGUUUAAAAUCACUGCAUGUCCUCACAG